AAUAGUAUUUAUUUACAGUACAGCAAUUUUAAGGUCCCCCUUAAAUAUGCAUAGGCUGUACUCAUUAUGUUUCAUGAAUUCAUUGUGCUUGACUUGUUACAAUUGAUGCAUCUAAAAUUUAAUUACUUACUGCUGCUCUUGCAUUCCUAUCUUUUCGUAUGCAUGCACACAUACAUGUAACGCAUUGAAGUGAGCACGAGUUCUUGUCCUUGGAGCUUUAAUGAAAUUAUGUGAAAAAAAGAAGAACGUGAUAAAAUUUCAGAAAUACAAUAUGUACGCAGGAAGAUGCUCCUUGUUUUCUUGUUUAGAUUAUAAAAAGUGAUCUUGAGCAGGAGGUAUAGUGGUCACUCAGUCGUAUCUUUUUUUUGUAACACUACAAAUGACAUGAAAUGUAACACCUACAUGUAAACUAAGUGAUCCAAUACCAGAAAUCCAACCAAUCGUAAGAAACAAUGCCUUCCCGUUUACUGGAAUCAUAGUAUUCACAAAUGCUUAUAUAUUUGUUCAUUUAAUGACGCCAUUGAUAUAUUUUGCAUUGUUUUCCUUGUAUUAAAGAAACUUAAUAGUUCAAAUUACAAGCAAACAUCUUUUGACAAGCGAUAAAUUAUUUGAAUUGAUCAUCGUGAGAAUUAAAUGGUUUAGAAUAAGCAUGGACUUUAUAUCAUUCAGUAAUUCUUAUUCGUAGUUGCCUAAUGACUCUUUAAAUAUUUAUUUAGAAAUCGGGGUGAAUAUUAUUCUGCGACAAAAAUAUACAACUGUUGCGCAUUGUACUAUACAAUUUGUAUCACAAAUUAUCAUUGUUGUGUUUGAGAAAACGAGUGCUGACAGAGGAGAUGGGCUGAAAAUUAAAAAGACUGUCAACUGCAUGUCAUCAUCAAAGCUCAAGGAAAUCAACUUUGAUAAGACGUUUUUCAAGCCAGUUAAACACACGAAGUCACAUUCUUGUUGAUUUAAAAUAAGAAUUGGGACUGAAAUACACACACAUUUUCAUUUCAUUAUUUUGCAUAUAAAUUGACAAGAUAUAUUUAUUUUUAUUAUGAUUUGUGCAACUCAAGUAAGAAAUAUAUUUCAUUUGAAUAAUUCUCUCCGGCAUUAACACGGAUCUUAAAAAUUGACCUAUCUAAUUUGCUAAUAAAAGGUUAAUAAAAGGUUAAGUCAAUAAAUAAACCUUGAAUUUCGUAAGAAAUAUUUAGUACACCGGGCCUCCUAUUUUCAACAUCCUAUGGGUAAUAAGUAGUUAAAUGAAACGGACUACGAAUUUAAAUGGAACGAUAUGUGACAACCCUUGCGACACGGGUGACUUCUUGUCAGCCCUUUCCAAAAAUACCCUCUAUUGCUAUUUAUUAACGAUUUUGUCGCCACUGACUUUUUACCUUUAUUACACACUGGCUUACAGGGUAUAAUUACAAUUAGUUUCAGUAAUUAUGUAUUACCGAAUUUGCAGAAGUUGUAUGAUUAUAAAAUAUGGAUUGUACAAUUCGAAUGGAGUUUGAAAGGAAUGGUACAGCAGAAAUGUCACGAUAUUUGGGCUAUGCAAAAAUGAAGGUUUUGAUCUCAUACAUUUAUAAUCAGAAUGUGAAAUAUUAAGAUUUACCUUAUCGUAAUAAAGAUUACCAGUCCUCAGUAGGAUUCUCUGUUAUUUUUUGUAUUUUCUUAUCUGCCGUCUUACUCUGUCACCCUGGACACUGAUUUUUUCCAGGAACACAAGUGUAAAGCUGGAGAGAUACGCUGAAACGAUAUGUGCAUUUUUCUUGAAUAUUUCGAGGCCUCAGUUCGCAUAAUACUUAAUUGGCAACUACUAUGAGUUAUUGAAUGAAUUGUUUUGGGGACAGUGAUAAGAUUUCAAGAAAUUCACUUCACCGAAAUACACUUAAAGAGUCUAGGAAUCUUGGGAUGGUGAAUAUUGGACUUGAAAAGGACAGCUUCUUUCUCCUGCGUUAAUCAUACAGACCUUUUCUCCCACAAUGGAAAAAGUCAUGAAACUCUCCGCGCCCAAAGCAGGAUACGAGAACUUGGGCACUAUUCCUCUUGAAUCACUGCAAUGCGGCAUGAAUUUGGAGGACGCCUCGAGACUUUCACCGCCCUCACCGGUUGUCGUCGUACCGACCUUUUCUUACGUUGGUAGUCUCAGGAACGAGUCCUUCCUCCCAUUGACACCUAAUCCAUACAAAGUGUUGUCCGUGCCGAAAAGUGAACCAAGUUAUGUAGCAGAGAAACAUUGUCACACAAACUCCUCAACUUCCCGAAGUUCGUCAGUCUCGUGGUUUUUGAGAAUACUGGACUGUUGCAAGGGACAGAAGAAAUUCGUUAAGAAUGAUUUGGCUAACAACAUUGAAAAUCCUGGUUGAAAAUGGACACGUGCAAAUAAGCAUGUCCAUGAAUUACUUAAGUUUCCUUAUGGAACCUUCACUGUUGCAGAAAUACAUAUAUCUGUAAUACACAUUAAUGUAUAAUGUAUAAAAUUGGUGUUUUGAAAGCGAAA